ensembl:lncRNA
CUGAACUUCACAAGCGUCAUGGGCCUGCUGUUUCCAGAUGGGGCUCUCUUCUGAAACCACCAGAAAAGUUUGUUAAAAUACAGCGCACAAGUGCCCCGUUGCGUCCGACUCUCUGCGACCUCGUGGACUGUAGCCCGCCAGGCUCCUCUGUCCAUGGGGAUUCUCCAGGCAAGAAUACUGGAGUGGAUUGUCACUUCCUACUCCAGGAGAUCUUCCUGACCCAGGGAUCGAACCCAUGUCUCUUGUGUCUCCUGCAUUGGCAAGCAGAUUCUUUACCAACAGACAUACCUGGGAAGCCUGUUAAAAGGCAGAAUUCCUCCCAAAUCAGAAUCUCUGUGGGUGGGGCCUUGGAAUCUGUUUGUAUUAAUAUCCCUUUGGGUCACGCUCAUGGGGCUAUAACCCCAGGCAGAGCCCUCGGGAACUACUGGGUUUAGAACAAAGCUUAGUUGAUUUUCACAAUGUCCCUGUGAGAUAGGGCACUUUCCAAAGGGAAAAGUCACAUCAGUGCUUCUGUGGUGGAGCCAGAGGUAGCACCAUUCACUCAUUCAUUCAUCCAUUUUCAUUUUGGGAACAUGGAUUAGACAUCUACUGAGAUGUUGUUGUUCUGUCGCUAAGUCAUGUCCGAUUCAUUGAGACCCCAUGGACUGCAGCACGCCAGGCUUUUUCACUUUUAUCACUAUCUCGUGGACUUUGCCCAAACUUCUAUCCAUCAAGUCGAGGAUGCCAUCCAACCAUCUCAUCCUCUGUUGCCCACUUCUCUUGCCUUCAGUCUUUCCCGGCAUCAGGGUCUUUACUGAGUUACCCAGAGGAAAUUGCCACACACACGUAUGCACACAGAUGACUGAGCUUAUGAGGGCUUUGGGCUUCCCUGGUCUCCCAAAUUGCAGGUGGAUUCUUUACCAGCUGAGCCACAAGGGAAGCCCAAGAAUACUGGAGUGGGUAGCCUAUCUCUUCUCCAGCGUAUCUUCCCAACCCAGCAAUCGAACUGGGGUCUCCUGCGUUGCAGGUGGAUUCUUUACCAACUGAGCUAUCAGGGAAGCCCAGAGACAGACUGGAGGCAGGCAAACGUUCAAGCAGACACUGGGAAACCGGGAGUUGAUUUAAAUGACAUCAGUCCUGUGGUUUAGCCCAGUGGUUCUCAAAUGUACUGCAUCUGUGAAUCUUCUUCUUAAAAGAAGGCUGUUGCUUCUCCAGUCAACUUUGGGAAUCAGACCCUGUCAGCUCUGGGUUAAGUCAUCUUCUGUGUUUCUCCCACUCAGAACAGGGCGGAGAAAAGGUCAGAACCCAGUUUUGCCCAAGUCUUUCAGAUGGUGAGGCCUGGCAACUGACAUCACAGUGCUCUUGAAUGAUCGUCAUAACAUGUUGAUAUUCGCACCAGCACAAGAUUUGGGACAAUUUUGCUAGCAGAAAAUAUGACUCUCAAAAUUUGGCUCUCCUACUAGAGCCAAAUGGUCCAACCACAAGAGCAGGAUCCAUAGAAUGUGACCAGCUGUUUCGGUGGUUUUCUGUUACUAUUUGUGAAGUCUUCAUUCUUGUCAUCUGCCAGCAGAAGAG